rnacentral:tRNA from 1 species
UGGCAUAGUGGUUAAGUGCCAUGGCUGCUAACCAAGAGGCUGGCGGUUCAAAUCCGCC